rnacentral:rRNA from 1 species
GAUGAACGCUGGCGGCGUGCCUAAUACAUGCAAGUCGAGCGAACAGAUGAGGAGCUUGCUCCUCUGACGUUAGCGGCGGACGGGUGAGUAACACGUGGAUAACCUACCUAUAAGACUGGGAUAACUUCGGGAAACCGGAGCUAAUACCGGAUAAUAUAUUGAACCGCAUGGUUCAAUAGUGAAAGACGGUUUUGCUGUCACUUAUAGAUGGAUCCGCGCCGCAUUAGCUAGUUGGUAAGGUAACGGCUUACCAAGGCAACGAUGCGUAGCCGACCUGAGAGAGUGGUCGGCCACACUGGAACUGAAACACGGUCCAGACUCCUACGGGAGGCAGCAGUAGGGAAUCUUCCGCAAUGGGCGAAAGCCUGACGGAGCAACGCCGCGUGAGUGAUGAAGGUCUUCGGAUCGUAAAACUCUGUUAUUAGGGAAGAACAAAUGUGUAAGUAACUAUGCACGUCUUGACGGUACCUAAUCAGAAAGCCACGGCUAACUACGUG